UGGGGAAUUUUGGACAAUGGGCGAAAGCCUGAUCCAGCAAUGCCGCGUGUGUGAAGAAGGCCUUCGGGUUGUAAAGCACUUUUGUCCGGAAAGAAAUCCUUGGCUCUAAUACAGUCGGGGGAUGACGGUACCGGAAGAAUAAGCACCGGCUAACUACGUGCCAGCAGCCGCGGUAAUACGUAGGGUGCAAGCGUUAAUCGGAAUUACUGGGCGUAAAGCGUGCGCAGGCGGUUUGCUAAGACCGAUGUGAAAUCCCCGGGCUCAACCUGGGAACUGCAUUGGUGACUGGCAGGCUAGAGUAUGGCAGAGGGGGGUAGAAUUCCACGUNUAGCAGUGAAAUGCGUAGAGAUGUGGAGGAAUACCGAUGGCGAAGGCAGCCCCCUGGGCAAAUACUGACGCUCAUGCACGAAAGCGUGGGGAGCAAACAGGAUUAGAUACCCUGGUAGUCCACGCCCUAAAACGAUGUCAACUAGUUGUUGGGGAUUCAUUUCCUUAGUAACGUAGCUAACGCGUGAAGUUGACCGCCUGGGGAGUACGGUCGCAAGAUUAAAACUCAAAUGAAUUGACGGGGUCAUAGCUG
rnacentral:rRNA from 1 species